GGAGGAUGAGGGGCAAGGCAAGAAGAUGUGUAGAGGAGGGAAAGGAGGUGAGAUGGACGGAAGAGAGAAGAGAGGUGGAAGGGUACAGAAUGGUCCAUGUAUAUUUGACCUGAUGCAAUAAGCGCUGUGUUCGGUGCACUUCUGUGCCAGUCCAUUUGGAGGAGACCAUCACCUCUACCGCCCUCCUCCAGCUCCCUGAUUGAGAGAAUGGACUGCGACAACACGGUGAUCAGCUGAAUAUCAAUCGAUGAUCUAUAGACGACACAGGAGCAGCACAACCAGACUGCUCUCUCACUAACACCACUGCUCCAUGGCCCCAGAGGAGCACACUGCUUUCUACCACCACAUCUUCCAUCCCUCCAGAGGACCAGGCCCUAAUGAAACAUUCUACUGUAACAAGCUCAUUAGAACAUCUCUGGGUUGGCAGAACUGCAGUUUCAUCCGAGAAUGACGAAAUGGAAUUUCUCCGGCGGCGCGGGACGACCUGGUGGAUUCAUAGGGGUUUUUCCUGGAGAUGCCUUAUCAGCCAUCAGCCAGGGACUUUAUUCAUUUCUAACGGUGUUCACCCAUGUUACGAUUUAUAGAUGGUUGUCCUUGUACAAAUCCUGGUGUGUAACCUCUGAGCUGCGUGUUGAAGCAGCAUGUUUGAUUCGUCUCAUUCAGUCGUUGACCCUGUCUUUUGCUCUCUGUUGUCUCCAGUGCAUUAGGAUAUUAACAAUACGAGGAGUCGCUCUAAGCCUAAGGAGUAGAGAUCAAUAUCUAUAUUCAAGGUUAUCAUUAGGCAUACAGAGAUUGAAUUAGUUUAGAACAACUGAACAUUGCUUUAAUUGUGUGAAGAUAAUUUGUGAUUAGGCGUGAGAAAAAAAUGCCCUCCAGCCUCGGAUGUGUUAUAGACCUGGAAGGGCAUCAUUUAUUGCUUUCAUACACAUGUUCCAGCCAUCAGAUGGAUGCCCAGACAUUCUUAGCUGGUUCUCAUGUAGCCCAUCUGUCCACUCCCUGGAGUCUGAGACAGGCAAAGCAACACAGGAGCCCCGGCGACAUUUGGAGUGAAAUGAGAGUAGGCCUUAAAUGUCAAGUAAAAAAGGCUUGAGAUAGCUUUGACACUAAACGUGUCAAACAGACCCACAGUGUGUGUGUGUGUGUGUGUGUGUGUGUGUGUGUGUGUGU